GAUGAAGAACGUAGUGAAAUACGAUAAGUAAUGUGAAUUGCAGAAUUCAGUGAAUCAUCGAAUCUUUGAACGCACAUUGCGCCCGCCAGUAUUCUGGCGGGCAUGCCUGUUCGAGCGUCAUUUCAACCAUCAAGCCCCCGGCUUGUGUUGGGGACCUGCGGCUGCCGCAGGCCCUGAAAAGCAGUGGCGGGCUCGCUGUCACACCGAGCGUAGUAGCAUACAUCUCGCUCUGGGCGUGCUGCGGGUUCCGGCCGUUAAACCACCUUCAUAACCCAAGGUUGACCUCGGAUCAGGUAGGAAGACCCGCUGAACUUAAGCAUAUCAAUAAGCGGAGGA
rnacentral:misc_RNA from 1 species